rnacentral:tRNA from 1 species
GGCGGCGUAGCUCAGAUGGCAGAGCACACGGCUCAUAUCCGUUAGGUCAUUGGUUCAAUCCCAAUCGCCGCUA